GAACUGUGCGAACGUUAUUCGGAAUCACUGGGCUUAAAGGGUGCGUAGGCGGUCCGCCAAGUCCGGUGUGAAAUCCCCCGGCUCAACCGGGGAAUAGCGCUGGAAACUAGCGGGCUGGAGCGAGGCAGGGGUGUGUGGAACUUCCGGUGGAGCGGUGAAAUGUGUAGAUAUCGGAAGGAACGCCGGUGGCGAAAGCGGCACACUGGGCCUUGUCUGACGCUGAGGCACGAAAGCUAGGGGAGUGAACGGGAUUAGAUACCCCGGUAAUCCUAGCCGUAAACACUGAGCACUGGAGGGGAGGGGUUUCGGCCUUUUCCCUCGCAGCGAAAGCGUUAAGUGCUCCGCCUGGGGAGUAUGGUCGCAAGGCUG
rnacentral:rRNA from 1 species